rnacentral:rRNA from 1 species
CCUACGGGAGGCAGCAGUGGGGAAUAUUGGACAAUGGGGGGAACCCUGAUCCAGCGACGCCGCGUGAGUGAAGAAGUAUUUCGGUAUGUAAAGCUCUAUCAGCAGGGAAGAAAGAAAUGACGGUACCUGACUAAGAAGCUCCGGCUAACUACGUGCCAGCAGCCGCGGUAAUACGUAGGGGGCAAGCGUUAUCCGGAUUUACUGGGUGUAAAGGGAGCGUAGACGGCAAGGCAAGCCAGAAGUGAAAGGGCCGGGCUCAACCCUGUACAUGCUUUUGGAACUGUGGUGCUAGAGUGCAGGAGAGGAAAGUGGAAUUCCUGGUGUAGGAGUGAAAUGCGUAGAUAUUAAGAGGAACACCAGUGGCGAAGGCGGCUUACUGGACUAUAACUGACGUUGAGGAUCGAAAGCGUGGGGAGCAAACAGGAUUAGAUACCCGGGUAGUC